UACGUAGGCAGCGAGCGUUGUUCGGAAUACUGGGCGUAAAGCGCGUGUAGGCGGUCUCGCAAGUCGGAUGUGAAAGCCCCAGGGCUCAACCCUGGAAGUGCACUCGAUACUGCGAGGCUAGAGUCCCGGAGAGGAUGGUGGAACUCUCGGUGUAGAGGUGAAAUUCGUAGAUAUCGAGAAGAACACCGGUGGCGAAGGCGGCCAUCUGGACGGUGACUGACGCUGAGACGCGAAAGCGUGGGGAGCAAACAGG
rnacentral:rRNA from 1 species